AAUCAACGCUGGCGGCGCGCUUAACACAUGCAAGUCGCACGAGAAAGUGGAGCAAUCCAUGAGUACAGUGGCGCACGGGUGAGUAACACGUGGGUAACCUGCCCUUGAAUGGGGAAUAACCCGGGGAAACCUGGGCUAAUACCGCAUACGCUCCUUUUGGCUCACGCCAGGGGGAGGAAAGGCGCAAGCCGUUCGAGGAGGGGCCCGCGGCCGAUUAGCUAGUUGGUAGGGUAAUGGCCUACCAAGGCUUUGAUCGGUAGCCGGCCUGAGAGGGCACACGGCCACACUGGCACUGAAACACGGGCCAGACUCCUACGGGAGGCAGCAGUGGGGAAUCUUGCACAAUGGGGGAAACCCUGAUGCAGCGACGCCGCGUGAGCGAUGAAGCCCUUCGGGGUGUAAAGCUCUUUGG
rnacentral:rRNA from 1 species